GCCCCACGCAAUCGCAUCUUAAAACUAAUUUAUAAUACAAACAACUAACAUCAAUAUAGAAAAGUACAGAAAUGGAAACAACAAUAAAUAAUAGUAAUUUUUAACAACUGUACCUUGUGCAUUAUGGUUUUACAAGAAAUCAAUUAAACACAAAAAUCCCGAAUUCUAAGUGAGAUGUUAAACUGCUGUUAAGAACCCAUUAGUAACUGUAGAAAAAGCUUUAAAAGACAGUUUAACAGAGGCUACAUACCAUCCGCACAAGAACAUAGCUGGUUUUCAACAAACAUUAUACAUUAAAACAUAUAAUUAAUAUUAUAGUGUAACAUUAUUGAGGACAAGCCCAGUAAUCUAAACAAUACUACACCAAAUCUACUCUUACAAAUAGGCUUAAUAUCAGCCAACAAAAAUACUUUACCGUAAUAGAAAUUGAUAUAAUACAUAAUGUAACAUGUGAAGGAAAGUUGAAAUACUGGGGAAACUCAUUUACCCGUCCAUACUAUGUAAAAAUAAGUAUUAAUAAACAUAAUAUCAAAUAACCAGAAAUUACAACAAACUUAUAAAUAAUAACUAAUUAAGGAACUCGGCAAACUACUAUUUCGACUGUUUAACAAAAACAUUGUCUCACGAAUAACAUAUGAGAUAAUACCUGCCCAGUGACACUGUUCAACGGCCGCGGUAUCCUAACCGUGCAAAGGUAGCAUAAUCACUUGCCUAUUAAUUGUAGGCUAGAAUGAAAGGGUUAACGAAAUAAAUACUGUCUCAAUUAGUAAACUAAAAAUUAUUCUCUACCUGAAGAAAGGUAGAUACACUCGAAGGACAAGAAGACCCUAUAGAGCUUAAUUUAAUUUAUAGAGUCACACUAUAAUAAUAUUCGGUUGGGGCGACCCAGGGCAAAAUAAUCACCCAUAUUUUAAAAGAUACAUUAAUCAAAUAACUGACCCUUUAAAGAUCACAAGAACAAGCUACCUUAGGGAUAACAGGCUAAUCCCACUCAAGAGUCCUUAUCAACAGUGGGGUUUGGCACCUCGAUGUUGGCUUAGGGUAUCUAUAAUAGCGCAAAAGUUAUAUAAAGAUGGUUUGUUCAACCAGUAACAUCCCUACAUGAGCUGAGUUCAGACCGGCGUAAGCCAGGUUAGCUUCUAUCCUCGACUCCCCAACUCUACCCCUAGUACGAAAGGACCUGGGUAGAAUAAUUAUUAUAUUAAAGAAUAAAUGUAAAUAACAAUAAACAACACUCACUAUAUACUAUA
rnacentral:rRNA from 1 species